rnacentral:rRNA from 1 species
ACCAAGGCUUGAUCGCUUNGCGAGCCAGCUUAUUGGAAUGGGUACAAUUUAAACCCNUUAACCGAGGACCUAUAAGAGGGCAAGUCUGGUGCCAGCAGCCGCGGUAACUCCAGCUCUCAAAAUGUACUUACCCAUUGUUGCGGUUAAAAAGCUCGUAGUUGGAUCUCUGCAACGCGAAGUGGUUCGUUCAUUGAACGAUUACUUCUUCGCGUUGCUCUCUUUUGUCGGUUUUUGGCAGUGUUCCUCACGGAGUGCUGUCGUGACUGACGAGUUUACUUUGAAUUAAUUAGAGUGCUUAAAACAGGCGUUUCGCUUGAAUAGUCUAGCAUGGAAUAAUGGAAUAGGACCUCGGUUCGAUUUUAUUGGUUUUAUGGAUCGAAGUAAUGAUUAGUAGGAAUAAAGGGGGGCAUUCGUAUUGUUACGUUAGAGGUGAAAUUCUGGGACCGUAGCAAGACGAUCGACUGCGAAAGCAUUUGCCAAGAAUGUUUUCAUUAAUCAAGAACGAAAGUUAGGGGUUCGAAGGCGAUCAGAUACCGCCCUAGUCCUAACCCUAAACUCUGCCAACUAGCGAUCCGUCGAUGGUAAUUUAGCCUUGAUGGGGAGCUAAUCGGAAACGAAAGUCUUCCGGUUCCGGGGGAAGUAUGGUUGCAAAGCUGAAACUUAAAGAAAUUGACGGAAGGGCACCACCAGGAGUGGAGCCUGCGGCUUAAUUUGACUAAGGGC